rnacentral:lncRNA from 1 species
UGAAGUGACCCCAACUAAGCAAGCAAGAGGUGACAGCGGCAAGGAACCGAAACUCCAUCGGUGACAGAAUGUAGAAAAAAACCUUGAGAGAAACCAGGCUCAGUUGGGGGGCCAGUUCUCCUCUGACCAGACGAAACCAGUAUUUCAAUUCCAGGCUGCAGCAAAGUCAGAUUGUGCAGAAGAAUCAUCGGUUUCCUGUGGUCUUGUCCUGGUGGUCCUCUGAGACAAGGUCUUUACAGGGGAUCUGUAUCUGGGGGCUCUAGUUGUCCUGGUCUCCGCUGUCUUUCAGAGCAGUAGAGGUCCUUUCUAGGUGCUGAUCCACCAUCUGGUUUGGAUACGUACUGGAUCCGGGUGACUGCAGUGAUCCUCUGAUCUGGAUACAGACUGGAUCUGGUGGCUACGGUGACCUUGGAUAAGAGAGAAACAGACAAAUAUUAGCGUAGAUGUCAUUCUUCUAAUGAUGUAGCAAGUACAUAGGGUGUUAUGGGAAGUGUUCCCGGUUCCGGUUUACCUAAUUAAUGCAGCCUAAAAAUCCAUUUGGAUAUUAAAAGCAUAUUAGUAAGUUAUGUGUAAGCCAGGUUAAAUAGAUGGGUCUUUAAUCUAGAUUUAUACUGCAAGAGUGUGUCUGCCUCCCGAACAAUGUUAGGUAGGUUAUUCCAGAGUUUAGGCGCCAAAUAGGAAAAGGAUCUGCCGCCCACAGUUGAUUUUGAUAUUCUAUGUAUUAUCAAAUUGCCUGAGUUUUGAGAAUGUAGUGGAUGUGGAGGAUUAUAAUUAUUAUUCACACAGACACUAAAUACCAUCAUGGUGAGACUGAUUGAUCUGAAAUAUGCAAUACACAUUAAUUUAACAACAUUACAUGUAACAUACAACCCUAAUAAACAUAACAGAUAAGAAAAAAAUAAAUAAAAAUAAGAAGAAACAUGGUUAUUUCAAAGAAAAAAUAUCAAAUAAUUUUUUUUUUUAAAUGCAACGCAGAAAAUUCUGGGAAUGUAAGUUUAAGGUUUUUUUUUUUAUUAUUUUUUUAUUUUAUUUUUUUUACAGUGAAGUUUCUUAACCUUUUGCUGCCUGAUAAAUUUCUGGACAAUAUCUCAUUUUCAAAACAGCAUUUUAAAGUGCCUCUUUUUUUUUUUUUUUUUUUUUGACUGAUAACAUGAAUCGUCCCUCUUAGUGUUUAAUGCAUUUUAGUAUCACAGUUUGAUAGCAACAGGGUUAAACGGUAAAAUAAAAUGAUACACAUUUAAAAGUCAAGCUUGUGCAUAGCAAAAUAGAUUUAUGUCCACAUGCUUCACACAAUUCCCUAAACAUUUGCCUUUUGCAAAAGCCUAGAUGUGUAGAUACUUAAAUUGUGUAGAAAAGUCUUGUAACCAAAAGCUACUGAUGUAUGAAACUGCUACAGCCAUAGGUGGGUUCUUCUUUUUAAGAUAUUUAACUGUACAUAUUGUUAAUGUACAUAC